AUUGAACGCUGGCGGCAGGCUUAACACAUGCAAGUCGAGCGAGCGGCGGACGGGUGAGUAAUGUAUGGGAAACUGCCUGAUGGAGGGGGAUAACUACUGGAAACGGUAGCUAAUACCGCAUACCAUCAGAUGUGCCGAGAUGGGAUUAGCGAGUGGGUGGGGUAAUGGCUCACCUAGGCGACGAUCCCUAGCUGGUCUGAGAGGAUGACCAGCCACACUGGGACUGAGACACGGUCCAGACUCCUACGGGAGGCAGCAGUGGGGAAUAUUGGACAAUGGGGGAAAGCCUGAUCCAGCCAUGCCGCGUGUGGGAAGAAGGCCUUCGGGUUGUAAAGCACUUUCAGCGAGGAGGCGUUACUCGCAGAAGAAGCACCGGCUAACUCCGUGCCAGCCGCCGCGGUAAUAC
rnacentral:rRNA from 1 species